CCCUUAGAUGUUCUGGGCCGCACGCGUGCUACACUGAGUGGAUCAGCGGGUCAGGUUGCGCGAAAGCGUUUCCUAAUCUUUAAAUCCGCUCGUGAUGGGGAUUGACGGUUGCAAUUUUCUGUCAUGAACGAGGAAUACCUUGUAAGCGCGGGUCAUCAUCCCGCGCUGAAUACGUCCCUGCCCUUUGUACACACCGCCCGUCGCUCCUACCGAUUGAGUGGUCCGGUGAGGCUUUGGGAUCUGAGCGGAAAGAGCGUUUCGCUGUUUCUGCUCGGAAAACUCAGUCGAACCUUAUCAUUUAGAGGAAAGAGAAGUCGUAACA
rnacentral:rRNA from 1 species